UACGAAGGGAGCUAGCGUUGUUCGGAAUUACUGAGCGUAAAGGGCGCGUAGGCGGGUUUCCAAGUCGGGGGUGAAAUUCCAGGGCUCAACCCUGGGACGGCCUUCGAUACUGGGAGCCUGGAGAUCGGGAGAGGUGAGUGGAAUUCCGAGUGUAGAGGUGAAAUUCGUAGAUAUUCGCAAGAACACCAGUGGCGAAGGCGGCUGACUGGUCCGGUUCUGGACGCUGAGGCGCGAAAGCGUGGGGAGCAAACAGG
rnacentral:rRNA from 1 species